rnacentral:rRNA from 1 species
UACAGAGGGUGCAAGCGUUGUUCGGAAUUAUUGGGCGUAAAGGGCGCGUAGGCGGUGCUGUAAGUCUGUGGUGAAAUCUCUGGGCUCAACUCAGAGUCUGCCAUAGAAACUGCAGUGCUGGAGUGUGGGAGAGGUGAGUGGAAUUCCCGGUGUAGCGGUGAAAUGCGUAGAUAUCGGGGAGGAACACCUGUGGCGAAAGCGGCUCACUGGACCACAACUGACGCUGAGGCGCGAAAGCUAGGGGAGCAAACAGG